rnacentral:rRNA from 1 species
CUCGUAGGCGGUUUGACAAGUCGGUCGUGAAAACCCGGGGCUCAACCCCGGGACGCCGGUCGAAACUGUCAUGACUAGGGUCCGGUAGAGGUGAGUGGAAUUCUCGGUGUAGCGGUGAAAUGCGCAGAUAUCGAGAGGAACACCUGUAGCGAAGGCGGCUCACUGGGCGGUACCGACGCUGAGGAGCGAAAGCGCGGGGAGCAAACA